UUAACUUAUCUCCAAUAGAAAAACUAUCAGACAAAAACUACUUGAUCUGGGCAAACAGAAUAGAAAGCGAACUAAGAGGAUUAAAAUUAUGGAGACGUAUAAUAGAAGGAAAAGAGAUAGAAAAGCCUAUAGAAACAGACGAAAAAUUUGAACAAAAAGUGAAAAUCUGGGAAGAUUGGGAUGACGACAAUGCAAUUGCAAGAAAUGUGAUGAACAGAACUAUGAAUGACACUCAAAUUUUAAAAUAUUCAAGUGAAAGAAGUGCAAAACGAUUAUGGUAUAGCAUUAAAGAAGAAAUGGCAUCUAAGAAUGAAGAUAUGCAAAUGAAAAAUAGAAUAGUUGAUUUGCUUCGUUUUAGAAGGUUUAAGAAUAGAAUUUGAUUUUGACGUAAAAAUCAUAAAAUCUGACAGGCAAAAUAAUAUGAAUUCAAUAAGACAAAUCCUAAAGGAAACUGAGGAAAAAAUAAAAUAUAGGAAACUAGAAAAAGUAGAAAAACAGGAGAUUGCAUCUAAAGCUAGAGAAGGCCGAUCGGGAAGACGAAGUUUUGCUAUUAAGUGCUAUAACUGUGGAAAGAUAGGUCAUAUCUCUAAAGAAUGUAGAAAUAAUAUAAAAUAUUUUAAUUGCGGAGGAUUUGGGCAUAUAUCGGAAAUAUGUAAAGAGUAUAGAAAUGAAUGUCAUGCAAAGUAUAAUUAUUAUGGGCCUAAAAGAGUAACAAACAGGAAAUAUAAUAGUGAAACCACAAGUCAUGUGAUAGAAACAAAUGAAGCAAAUUACGAAAGGGAAGAAAAAAAUAGAUGGAAUAUGGAUUCUGGAGCCUCUAGCCAUAUGGUUAGUAAAAAAGAACAAUUUAUAGAAUAUAGAGAGGAAGAGAGAAUUAUAGCGACAGCUGAGAAAGGUACAAUAAUGAAAUCAUCAGGGAUUGGAUCAAUAAGAAUGAAGUCGAAUGUUAAUGAGAGAUUAAUAAAAGUAGAAAAUGUUUUGCAUGUACCUAAUUUAAAAGAAAAUUUAUUAUCAGUAACAAAAAUUAUAGAUCAUGAUUUUAAUGUAUUAUUUAGUAAAUAUAAAGCUGAAGUAAUAGACAAAAAUGGUGAGAUUUUAUAUGAAGCAAAAAGAAAUGGUGAUAAAUUUGAAGUAGAGGGACUCCUAAAUAUGGAAAUCGCUAGAAAAGCAGAAGUAGAUGAUAUGCUAUGGCAUCAAAGACUUGCUCAUAAAAAUUUUCAGAAAUUGAAAGAAAUGUAUGAUAAUUCAACUGUAUUAGGAUUGAAAAAUUUACAUAAUAACAAAGGGAAUUGCGAAUCUUGUACAUUGGGAGAAUUACAUAGAAAAUCUUACAAAAGUAUUCAAUAUAAACAAUCUGAAGAUAUUUUGGAUCUAUGGCAUACCGACAUAGUUGGACCGUUGAAUGAUUCUUUUGGAUAUAAGUAUUUCAUCACUAUUGUUGAUGACUAUAGUAAUUUUACUUUCGUUAUACCAAUUGCUAAUAAAUCUCAAACAGCAGAUUCCAUAAUAAACUUGAUUAUGCAAGAAGAAAGACAGACUGGAAAGAAAUUGAAGAGAAUUCGAAAUGAUAAUGGUGGAGAGUAUAUUUCAAAUUAUUUGAGGCGAUGGUUAUCUAGUAAGGGCAUCAAACAAGAAUUCACCACAGCUUAUACUCCUUAAAGUAAUGGAAAAGCCGAAAGAUUUAAUAGAACCAUAGUUGAGUCAGCAAGAACCAUGCUAAUUGAUUCUAAAUUACCUUUAAAAUUUUGGAGUGAAAGUGUUAAAGUGGCUGUUCUCAUAUAAAUAAUAGAAUAAAAAUCAAAGAAAUGAAUACAACUCCUUUCGAGAUAUACAAGGGAUGGAAACCAAAAAUUGUUUAUUUAAAAAGGUUCGGAAGCGAAGCUUAUGUUCAUAUAAGAAAAGAAAAGAGAAAGAAGAUUGAACCAAAAGCUCAUAAAGGGAUCAUGAUGGGAUACAGUAUGAUAAGAAAAGGCUAUAGAAUAUAUUUACCAGAAAUUAAUGAAAUACAUGAAGUAUCAGUUGUUAAAUUUAAUGAAGCUAAGUUGGGAUAUUAUUUAAUGAAUAAUAGUGGUAGAAAUCUUGAUAAAAAUGAACUUUUCUUUUUUAGUAGAGAAGACCAAAAUUUGAUUUCUCACGGGAAUGAAGACUCUGGUGGUAAUAGAGAAGACCAAGUAGAAAACUUUAACAUCGAUGAUGAGCAUAUUCCUCAAGAUGAUAAUGAUGUAGAUUUGAGUGAAAUAGAUGAAAUACCUCCUGAUGAAAUAAUUACUCUACGUAGAAGAGGACCAGAACCAGGAAUGACGAGAGAAAUGAGAAAUGAACGAGAUCUUCGUUUGAGAGAAACCGAGGAAGAAGAACUUAUAAAAAAGGGUGUGAGGAGAUCUGAAAGAUUAAGACUAAUGAAAAAUAAGGAAAAUGUUUCUGAUAGAACUUAUGAAAUUAAACGUCCGAAAGAUUACCAAGAAGCACUGAAUUAAGAAGAAAUGAAAGCAGACCAUCUCACCAAGAGUGUGGAUGCUGUCAAGAUUAAUAGCUGCAUAAGUGGUGGAGUUAUUUUUGAGGAAUGAAAAUUGAAAAUUUGAAGGGGAGAUUUGUUGAUAUUUAUUAUUUAAAAUAUUCAUUUUCAUUCUAUGAUUUAAUUAAUCUGUGAUCUAAUUUAUUCUGUGGUGUUGUGUGUAUAAAAAUAUAUGUAUUUCUUUGAGUGAGUGUGGGAGAUAGUAUAUGAGGAGACGUUCAGGUGUAAGAGUAUUUAGUUUUAUUAUAGUAAUUUAAAUUCAUAGUUAUUUGUGCCUUCAAUAAAGAAGUUUUAAGUUUUAAUAGAGAGUAAUUUAUUAAGAUUCUCCCAACAAAAAUUAGUAAAAACUAUUUAUAAAGGCCAUUUCUAAGAGCCAAUUAGAGCCAAUACUUCUCCUCGGUGUGAAAGGCCUCAAAACAAUCAUUUAUACACAGAGGAACAAGGCAGGUCUUGCACAUAUAAGCAGUGUCCUUCCUUAUUCUUUUUCCAGUGACAAUUUUUCCCUUUUCAGCACAGACUUUGCAUUUUCGUCGGAUAUUUACAUUUGGCUUGUUUUCUUCUUUUAUUCUUGUAAUGAAGUGUCUCUCCAAAAGUCUGGCUUUUGAGCUUGAACUACCAAGUUGUUGAUCUGUGAUCUCAACUCCGGCUUCUUCAACCAUUUUUUCCAUAAUGACAAGAUGGUAGUCUCGGAGUGACAGUUUGGAUGUUGGAUUUAAUUUAUUAUAAAUUAUAUGAGAAUUGACUAUUGUUAGGCCAAAGAUGUGAAAGAAAAGCUUUUUCCACCAUUUCAUAGUUCUCCGCUGAAAAGAGUAGUAAGAGAGGAGCUGGUCACUUCUGUCAACACCAGCCUUGUGCUUGUUGUAGUCCAAUACUGCAGCUGGUUUCAUGGUGAGAGGUUGGUCAGAUUUCCUGGCUUUGUUGGUUACAGGUAUCAUGGCAUGAUCAUGUGCUGUGGAGACCAUGAAAACGUCCCUAGUAUCAUGCCAUUUGAAUGCCAAAAGAGGACCUUUCAUUCUGUAAAUUACCUCUCCUUUUUUCAUUUUUUUGGCAAGCCUCUUCUAUUUUUCUUUAUUGUUCCUACAGAUUGGGUAUUGUUUCUCCAGAGAAAUUGAAAAAGUGUGGUAGAGGGGAACCAUCUGUCAAAGUAUAUAACAUGUCCUCUAUUGAAGUAUGGAGCCGCUAUCCUUUCCACCAGUUUUAAGGUCGAAUUGUAGUCUGCACCUUGACCAGGCUGCUUCCGCGUGUACACUUCUAUGUUGCAGGCAUAUCCUGAAAUUGAUUCACAAAGUUCAAAUAUCUUGAUCCCAUAUUUGUGUGGCUUUCCUUUGAUAUAUAUUCUGAACCGUAUUCUUCCUCUAAAAGGACAUAUAGCUUCGUCAAUAGUCAAAGGUUGGCAGGGAUAGUAAUAUGUUUUGAAUUUGUGGACCAGAGGAUCAAGGAAUGUCCUAAUUUUAUGGAGAGGAUCAUGGCCUGGUUGACCAAAAGCCACAUAGGAAGCGUUGUCAUUUAGGUGAAGCAUGGAGAGAAUGGCUUCAAACCGUGGUCUGAUCAUCCCCACAUCUCUGCAGUAAGUUGUCCUAAGUUCACUGCGGGUUGACCAAUAAUCUUUCAAUCUGGUCUUUACAACAAGGCUCAUGUGAAUUAUUAUUGCCAUAAAUAUCUUGAGCUCAGACACAGAAACAGCUUUCCACAUUUCCAAAUGACUCCUAGGAUUCAAAGGACCCUUUUUUCUUUCUCUGUCUAUGGUUGCCCUAGCAUAGCGGUUAGUCUCAAGUUUCAGAUUACCAAAAAAAUCCUCAUCAAUAAAUUUUUUGAAUAUCUGGUAAGGAGAGUUGGGUUCUGGAAAUAACUCGGCCCUUGGUCCAGGUUGGGCAGUAAACAGAGGUCUGGGUAUCGUGGAUGUAGUAGUUUCAAUCCAGUCAUCACUUACCAGAGGAGACCUUGUUGUUAAAGGAGCCUCUUCAUCUCUUGGUCCCUCAAAAUAUAUUUCUGUUGAGUCCGAAUCAAUAUCUUCAUCAGAGUUAGCAUGGAGUGUGAAAUCUGGAUCCUCAAAAGAAUCAUCUAAUUCUGAUCCAAAAUCAAAAAGAUGGGGGUCGUAAAUCUCCCACUCUGGAGAUGGGCAAGAGGAGAUAACUUUGGAUGUACUGGGCUGAUCAGGAUUCAUUUUUAUACAAACAUGUCUAUUGAAAAUAUCUAGAAACUUCAAAUAAAAAUAUUAAGCAAAAAAAAAAAAGUGACAAGAAGAAGCGCGCAAAGUACAAUUGCCAAAUGACGGCAGAUUAAAAAUAGGUCAGUAGAGGUUGGGAGGGGAGGAAACUCGAGGAAGCGCGCGCUCAAAACUCAAUUUAAUUGGUCAGCCAUCCACCCUAUCAUGUGGCAAAGUGGUGAACGACCUUGAGGCAUGUUUAAACUUGCAGGAGGGCAAGUGGCCACGGGACGUAGCGCGCGCUAUGAUUUUAUACCGAUUUUUAAGAAAGUAGGACGUUAAUAUACGUCCUGCGGGCACUGUGCCAUUUUCGCGAGGACGUUAUCAGAGUCAUCAACAAUCAAUUCUGUCAUCGUUUGAUUUUGUGAAUGGAAUAAAUACCCAAAUAUGGCCAUUUCUUAUAAGCAUCGGUGGUUCAGUGGUAGAAUGCUCGCCUGCCACGCGGGCGGCCGGGGUUCGAAUCCCGGCCGAUGCAUUUUUUUGUUACAAUUUUUAAAACUCAUUUAUAUUAUUAUUAUCUUAUAUAUAAAAGUCAAUGUCCGUUUCACGAUAAACUAAAAACUACUGAACCAAUUGGUACCAAAUUUUGCAUGUCGCUUUUCAUAAACCUGAGGAAAAUAUUCGGCUACAUUUUGAUUAGUAUUUUUAGCUAUUUAUUUAUUUUUUCAUUUGAAGAACUUUUUUUUACGCGGAGUAAAUACGAGGCAAGUAACAACACCAGGCCAAUUAAGCGGUCAAUGAGCGUUCUGCAUUUUUUUUUCAAGUUGCUUGCGUACUUUUUUUUUUUUAAUAUCUUCUUGUAAAUAGACAAAAGAAUUGCUAUAAAGUAUGAAAUAAAAUAAAAAUAAACGGGAGCAAUACGUUUCUUUAUACGUGAAAUUUUAUGCAAGCUUUCGGAUAUUUUCAAUCCUUUCACAGGCCAAGCUGUAAGCUGAGAGAAAGAGUAUAUAUAGAUGUACAAUAUUAUUUACAUACACCUAACGAAAAUAAAAAUAAAAAAAUGAAAUAAACAUUUUCAUAUAUAAAUUUACAUAUUCGAAAAUUUAGACGCAAGUAAAAUUCUAUCUAUAUGCAAACAAAACAGAAAUUGAAUAUGGCAUAUGGGGCUAUGGUUGUGAAGGUCAAACUGGGGAAGAUGAGGAAGGAUCUGGUGAAAAGGAAGGGCUGGGUUGUUUUAUCCUGAAUGAAUGGUACUGAGAUGGUAGUUCUAUACGCCUGUUGAUGCUGUUUAAAUCAUGAGAGACGAAGGAUUCUAUUAAUAAUCUUUGAUGUUUGGAUCUGAUGUUAUGGUAAUGACAGAUUGGGUCGGAAAGGUUAAAAGCAUGGCCGGUUUUUGAGGUGUGCUGAAAGAUCAAAGAUUUGGGAUCUUUGUUUAUUAAAUUUCUGUUAUGCUCGGAAAUUCUGUUAUAAAUGAAGCGGCCAGUCUGACCCACAUAUGUUGCGUUGCAAUCUUGGCAGCCUAUGGAGUAAAUGGCAUAUGGUUGCUGGUCGGGACGUUUCUUAAUAUUGGAUCUGCUGAUGGGGUUCCAGUGUAUUUGGCCUAUUGAGAGGUGGUUGGUGAAAAAGGUUCUUAAACCAUAUUUUUUUUUAAGGGAGUGGGCUAUUGAUUGAUUUGCAAAAGAAUAAGGUAUAAUUCAGGUGUUACGGUUUACUGCGGGCUGAGUGUAUUUGGAAGGGUUAAAACUAUGUCUAAGUAUAAAGGGAAGUGGAUAGCCUCUUGAUGUUAGAUUACUGAUGAUGGUUUUCUUUUCUAUUUUUUUGAAAGCUGGGGUGGAGCAGUGUGUAUGUAUUCUUUUCAUGAGUGUUCUGACGACUGUGAGUUUGUGGCCUAUUGGGUUAUAUGAAUCAAAAAGGAGAUAGGAUGGUUUUAUGGAUUUUUUAUAAUAAACUGUUGUGUGGUAUGAUUCAUCAGUUUUGAUGAAAAGAAUGUCCAAAUAUGGCAGAACUUUGUGCGACUCAUGUUCUAUUGUAAAUUUGAGACGUGUAUGGUAAGAAUUUAGAGUUUUUAACACCAAUAGGGCGUCAUCCUUGUGGCAUAUGCAAAAAAUAUCGUCCAGGUACCUCUUCUAAACUUCUAUUCGGAGAUGUUUCUGUCCCAAAAUCCAGCUGUCAUUGGCGCUCAUGACGAGCUCUGCCGCAAUGUUGGAUAAAGGGCUGCCCAUAGGUGAUCCACAGAUUUGUUUAAAAAGCUGAUCUUUGAAGCUGAAGUUAGAUGUUGCCAAACAUGAUUCAAACAUUAAAAUGAUUCCUUCUGUUUCAGGGUUCGAGAUGCUGUGCGAAGAAAGCAAUGAACGGAGGUUUUCUAAUUAGGCUGUGUGGGAGAGAGAGAGAAACAAGGAGGUGACAUCAUAGGAGCACAUUGUGAAAUCUUGUUGUGGUUUCAAUGCUCUUAUUUCUUGAAUAAAGGCUGAGGUGCUAUUAAUAGAAUGGGGGUUAGAGGGUCGGAUCAAGGGUGAAAGGCGGGAGGACAGAUAUCUGGAGAGCUGUAUGGCGGGGGACAAGUGAUAGGCAAUUAUGGAACGAAUGGGACUGAAGGCUUGUGGAUCUUAGGAAGUCCAUAGAUAUAUGGUAGGGUGUCGCUGUUUGAAUUGAAGGUCUUGAAUUGGUCUUCGGUGAUCAUCUUAUUCUUCUUGAGAGAAGUUAGUGUUUUUUUGAAAUUCUAAAUGUAUUGAAGGUUGUCUGGAGCCGUGAAGGUGCAAAGGUAUCUCUAUCCUCAACGAUGUCAAGAAUCUUCUUUCUGUAGUCAACUUUGUUUAAUAUGACGACAUUAGAACCUUUGUCAGCUUUACUGAUGACUAUGUUGUGGUUGGCUUUCAAUUCUUUGAUGGCAGUAGCAUAUUUUCGGGUAGUUGCAGCAUAGGGGCGUUUUUGGUUAGUUAUCUUUGAGGAAACCAGGUUUCGUAUUGAGUUUUUCUGUGAAUUAUUGAACGACGUCAUUGCUACUUCAAUGCUGGGGGUGGUGACGUAUAUUAAUAGCACCUCAGCCUUUAUUCAAGAAAUAAGAGCAUUAAAACCACAACAAGAUUUCACAAUGUGCUCCUAUGAUGUCACCUCCUUGUUUCUCUCUCUCCCACACAGCCUAAUUAUAGAAAACCUCCGUUCAUUG